rnacentral:rRNA from 1 species
UACGAGGGGGGCAAGCGUUGUUCGGAAUUAUUGGGCGUAAAGGGUGCGUAGGUGGUUCGGCAAGUCUUGUGUGAAAUCUUCAGGCUCAACUUGAAGUCUGCAUAAGAAACUGCCGGGCUUGAGUAUGGGAGAGGUGAGUGGAAUUUCCGGUGUAGCGGUGAAAUGCGUAGAUAUCGGAAGGAACACCUGUGGCGAAAGCGGCUCACUGGACCAUUACUGACACUGAGGCACGAAAGCUAGGGGAGCAAACAG